CUACGGGAUGCUGCAGUGAGGAAUAUUGCACAAUGGGGGGAACCCUGAUGCAGCAACGCCGCGUGGAGGAUGACGCAUUUCGGUGUGUAAACUCCUUUUAUAUGUCAAGAAAAUGACGGUAGCAUAUGAAUAAGCACCGGCUAACUCCGUGCCAGCAGCCGCGGUAAUACGGAGGGUGCAAGCGUUACUCGGAAUCACUGGGCGUAAAGGACGCGUAGGCGGGUUGGUAAGUCAGGUGUGAAAUCCUACAGCUUAACUGUAGAACUGCACUUGAAACUUCUAAUCUAGAGUAUGGGAGGGGGGGAUGGAAUUAGUGGUGUAGGGGUAAAAUCCGUAGAUAUCACCAGGAAUACCUAAAGCGAAGGCGAUCUCCUGGAACAUUACUGACGCUAAGGCGUGAAAGCGUGGGGAGCAAACAGGAUUAGAUACCCCGGUAGUC
rnacentral:rRNA from 1 species